ACAUGGCUCCUUGUUUUCUUACAUAGGGAGUCGGACCUGCUCGGUGAAUAUAUUUUAACAGCCGCGGUACUCUGACCGUGCAAAGGUAGCAUAAUCAUUUGCCUUAUAAUUGAAGGCUAGUAUGAAUGGUUUGACGAGAAUUAAGCUGUCUCUUUUUAACUAAAUAUAAUUUUAUUAAGAGGUGAAGAAGCCUGUAUUUUAUUGAAAGACAAGAAGACCCUAUCGAGCUUUAAAGAAUUUAGUAGAUUUACCAUAUAUUAAUAAAAAAGUAAAGCAACUAAUUAUUUUGGUUGGGGCGACUGAGGAACAAACAAAGCUUCCUUUAUGCUAAUUAAAACUUACAAGUAUUGAUCCAAUUUAUUUGAUUAAAGGAAUUAGUUACCGUAGGGAUAACAGCAUAAUCUCCUUUGAGAGUUCCCAUCGAAAAGGGGGUUUGUGACCUCGAUGUUGGACCAGAAUACCCAGAAGAUGCAGCCGUCUUCAAUGGUUGGUCUGUUCGACCAUUAAAAUUCUACAUGA
rnacentral:rRNA from 1 species